UCCUCCUGUACUGGGAACUAUUUUUGGCUCUUGCGCCAUGUCCAGUAACAGAGCGUUCGCAAGGAUGUUCAUUGUUACAUGUGUACCAUCAACACUUCCUCAUUGUCUGGAUUUGACAUUAGUGCCAUGCAGUUUCUCUACUGCAUGUUCCUGUGAUGCAAUGACCCUGUCUGUUGCGCUGCUGCCAUCUGCAGCUCCCGAUCUGCACUUGAAGUCGCUCUGCAUCUCCUCACACAUAUAAAGAGGCAAACAAAAGACUGGGCAGUGUUUGUUUGCUUCUAUUGUACAACAGUGUGGGUUUUGGAUUACUUCCAUAACGUUCAGCCGGAUACAUGACAAUAUGUCCAUACCCUCCCCUUUCUCCUCAAGUGUGGCAGGUGCUGGGUUCAAAUCGGUCUGAGUCAUCCAGUGCACUACAUCGGAAUGGCAUUAGUCAUGCAGGGCUCCAGUUACUGUACUCCAGGCCUUUAUGUCUUGAAGCUGUAAAACAUGACCAAUUCCCACUAAUUCUUUUGAUAGAUCUUGUAGCGCUCUUCUCGAAUUUCAGAUUGAUGAGCCGAAGUCGACAGAGGAUCACGGAUGAAAUUGGUGCAGGAAGAGCACGCUGGACAGGAACCUAAUGUUCUUCUGAAGAAGCUCUUUCGAAUGGGUGAUAGUAUUGACAAAGGGACACUCCAGGCUUCCGUUAGAUGAUCGAUUAUUGAGAA